rnacentral:rRNA from 1 species
GACGAACGCUGGCGGCGUGCUUAACACAUGCAAGUCGAACGGAAAGGCCCUGCUUUUGUGGGGUGCUCGAGUGGCGAACGGGUGAGUAACACGUGAGUAACCUGCCCUUGACUUUGGGAUAACUUCAGGAAACUGGGGCUAAUACCGGAUAGGAGCUCCUGCUGCAUGGUGGGGGUUGGAAAGUUUCGGCGGUUGGGGAUGGACUCGCGGCUUAUCAGCUUGUUGGUGGGGUAGUGGCUUACCAAGGCUUUGACGGGUAGCCGGCCUGAGAGGGUGACCGGCCACAUGGGGACUGGGAUACGGCCCAGACUCCUAGGGGAGGCAGCGGUGGGAAAUAUUGCACAAUGGGCGGAGGCCCGAUGCAGCAACGCCGGGUGCGGAAUGACGGCCUUCGGGUGGUAACCCGCUUUGGCCUGUACCGAGGCGUGGGUAACGGUAAUGGGUAAGGAAGCACGGGCUAACUACGU